UAAAAGAUAUGUGACUUGAAAAAUGUGACUGUCUUCUGCCUAUACCCUGCCCUCAGGGAAGAUUGUGGCAUAUUACUGAACUAGGCAACCUAGUGAUGUGUCUCUUCUGACAGGGGUUUGCCCACAUAGACAAUUGUGACAUAUCACUGGGCUCAGGACCCAGGUGAUGUGACUCUGCUGCCUGUUCCCAACGUUCAAGAGAGGAUUGUAACAUAUCCCUGGCCAAGAACUCAGGUGAUUUGACUCUCCUGCCUUGUCCCUGUCCUCAGAGAAGAUUGUGAUAUAUCUUCAGCCCCAAACCCAGACUUUCCUGCAGGAGUGAUGCUGACAUGUUCCUCUAUUUGGCAUCUGAGUGAUAUGACCCUUGCCAUGGUCUAGCCCACAGAUGGAAUUGUGAUGUGUUGCUCUACCCAGCACCUAGGUGAUGUGACUCCAUUUUUCUGCCUUGACACUGUCCAUAAAAGGUAUUUUGACAUAUCUCUGGGAUAUGUACCCAGGUUACAUGACUCUCCUGCCUGUGUCCUGUCCACAAAUUAUGAAAUAUUACUGGGUCCAACACCCAGGGAUGUAACUCUCAUGCCUAGGCCCUGCCAACAGGGGGCAUUAUGACAAAUCUGUGUGCCAAUAACCCAGGUAAUGUGACUCUCUUUUUUUGCAUGGUCCCUGCUCACAGGGGGCAUUAUGACAUAUUGCUGAACUCAGCAUCUAACUGAUGUGAUUCUCCUUUCUACUUUUUGCCCACAGUGGAGAUUGUGACAUAUCACUGGGCCUCAAACUAAUGUGAUGUUACACUUUCAUUUUUGAACUGAACUCAGAAGGCACUGUGACAUAUUCCUGGGAACAGCACCAAGGUUAUCCCACUGUUGAGGUCCUGAAUCUCCCACCCAGAGGCAGUGGAAAGUUGGAGAAUUAACUCUCAUGCGUGGAUCUGAUACAUAGCCACAGGUGGGAGAGUGACUCAUAUCUGAACCCAACUAAGAGGCACAGUCAUGAUUUUCAUACCUGGACCCAGCCAAUAUGAGAGGUGUUGACUCUCAUACCUGGACUUAGGAAAAGAGCCCACAGUAAAAAGUGUCACCCUCCCACAUGAAUAGAGACCACUGAUGAGCUUCUGAAUUGUACAUCUGGAUGCAGUUGAAAGCUGGAAUUCUGAUUCUCGUAUGUGCAUUUUGUCCAGAGGUAGAUGAUGACUCUAGGAUCAGGGUUCAUCACACAGGCCAUGCCAGUUGAGGGGGAUUGUGACAUAUCGUUGGACCAGCACAAGGGAAAUUGAAAACUCCUGCCUAGGCCAUUCCCAUAGAAGGCAUUGUGACAUAUCACUGGUCACAGCACACAGGUGAGAAUUUUACAUAAAACUGCACCCAGCACACAGGUGAAAUUGUGACUCUUGGAUGUUCAUCCAGCCAACAGUUAUGAGUGUCAUCAUCGCACAUGGACAGAGAACUCUGUUUAUCUACUUUAUUAUUACAUUCAAAGAACAGCACUAAUUUUACUCAGAUGUUAUUAUCCCUGAGUAACAAAUGAGUCGGAGAAGUCGAGAAACUUGCCCAAGGUUACACAGGUACUCUGAGCCUGCUCUUCUAACCACUGAACACAUGGUGUCAUCCAGGAAACACAUAUGCAAUACUAUUUCUAAAGGUACAUAAAAUCACAUUAUACACAUGCAAAUAUGUGUAAAGAUAAAAUGAACCUAUACAGUGUUUACCUGCAGAAAAGUCACUGGUUGAGGGUGUAGAAGGUCACAUGGA
rnacentral:lncRNA from 1 species